CAACACGUUUCCAAUUAAAAUCGAAUGCGCGUCAUGCGCAUUUAACGAAUUCGAUUACACGCAUUGUUCGAACGAUAAUUUGCAAGUAAUUACGUCAAACUUGAAAUAGAAAUAAACAGCGAAUUAAAAAUAAACUCUCUGUUAUGACAACGUCACUCAUAAUAUCGGUUUGUGUUGUGUGGUGUUUAGUUAGUGGUAGUUCAACGGCUCAAUGUCAUAACUUAACCUUGUGAAUACGUGUGGGGUGGACAGGUGUAAACCUUCCGGAAGCCAUUAUGUGGGGCGCUGCAAGGAAGGACGAUGCACAAGGCUAAAACACAACAAAGAAACAUUUUAUUAUCGACCACGCUAUAAAUUACAUUAUAAGAUUUUAUAAAAUUAUAUCAACACUCAUUUGAUGAUGUUGAUAGUAAUAACAAAAUGACCCAGUUGUACAACGCUAAAAAGUGCACACGCAAAGAUCGCAAUAAAGUCCUUCCUGUUUGCGUUCCUGUCGCGCGUGGUCGCAGGGAAAGUUUCAAUGUCAUUACCUUCCGGAAAUUCAACAGCGCAACACAAGGACGUUGCAAGGCUGCAGGCGGUGGAAAACUAUCGAUCCGUUAUUUACCAUUUUGUUUCGACCAUGAAAUUGUAUUUUGCGUGCUACGCUACUGAUUAUACAACCUUGAAAAAAGAAAAUAAAUCAAAUUGUUUGGCGUUUGUGGUUUUUCUUGAAAUCGUGUACUGAGAUUGGAGGCGUUUGUAGCCGUUGAUAUUCGCGAUUAAGUAAAUAUUUAAGCAAACUUUAGCGUUCGCUCUGAGGCCGUGUUUGCUUGUUUGUCGUUCGGGGCGAACGUGUUCGGCGCGUCGUGAAUAUGCUCGCGAACGGCAUAUCAACAAAAUAUUAUCGGGUAGCAAAAGGAACAAGUAUACGGAAAGCAAACACUAAUAUAUAUGUGCGUUCUAACCUUCAAAUUGGCAAGAUAUGUGGUUCACAAUCAUAUAAAAUUCAGGUUAGUUAAAAAAUUGUCUGUUUUUUACAUUUAAUAGUUA